rnacentral:sRNA from 6 species
AUGUCGCCCGUGCGCCCCGGUUCCUCCGCGCCGUCCGCGUCCACCUGACGGCUGCUCGCUGCGUCUGUUGGCC